GUAUUGAAUCGGUGACGUCACAAAAGACGUGUCAGUGGAAGGAGUAGACAGGUUUCGCGGAGAGGAGCAUGUUGAAAAAUGCCCGAUUACUUUAAUUUAUCGUGCACCGUGGAUAGUAGUAAACAGAGGGGCUUGUGUUGACGCGCGUGCGAGCAUUAGACCGGUGUCGGUACAUGAUUAUCGUCGGGGCCCCGAGGUAUCACGUGGACUGAAAGGAGAUCGGUUUAGUCCGACUAAGCCCGACACGCCGACCACCCGAAAUAUCCACGGAAAGUAAAACUGGUGCGGACGGUGUUGUUUUGUUCCCCGUGGGAUCCUCUUGGGGUGCUACAUCCGGCGUCAGCGCGUGAUCCUGUGAAUUUUUUUACCGGAGGAUUCGAGAAGCUCGACAUUUACAUAUCAGAGGCCCCGGAGGACCUGGGCAACGAUGGACGCUGCCAGACAGGAAUGAUAGAAUGCAAGAGGGUAGCACCGCCGUGGCGCUAGCGAUGGUGACUCCUGGUUACGAUCAGGACCCUGCAAGUGGGGUUGCCGAUUACACGACCCAUCAGGAUCAGGCUCAGUUCGAGGCAGACAAGAGGGCCGUAUACAAGCAUCCACUUUUCCCGUUGCUCGCGUUACUUUUCGAAAGAUGCGAACAGGCUACGCAGAGCUCGGACAACUCGACGUCCGAAAGCUUCAACAUGGACAUACAGGCCUUCGUCCAACACCAAGAAAGAGACCGAAAGCCUUUUCUGAUCAAUGACCCCGAAAUUGACGGUUUGAUGAUCAAGGCGAUACAGGUGCUACGGAUACACCUACUCGAGCUGGAAAAAGUGCAGGAGCUGUGCAAGGACUUUUGCAACAGGUACAUCACGUGCCUGAAGGGCAAGAUGCAAAGCGAGAAUCUGCUACGCAGCGAUUACAGCCACCAUGGGCACGAUAUGGGCCCAUCGAGUGGCAGCAACGGGAGCAGUCCUUUGCAGGUGCUGUCUUCUACAGGCAAUGAUGUUGAGUCGGGAGCUAACGGAUUCAGAGUGAGCAGAGGCGACACCCUGUCGGAGAACGGUGGUGCGAGUCAGCUGGCUGCGCAAGAGGAAGCCGGUAACGACAGGCCGUCGUCGGUGCGAUCAUCUUCCACUGCUCAACGCUCGAACAGAUCCUCCAGCCAAGACCAUGACGAUCCACUGUCACCUUCCACGGUACACGGGAGCACGCCCCUCUCUCAAAUUGGGGCUCAUUCCUGUGCGCCAGUCAACGACAUGUAUCUUGGUCAGGAUGAUAUGGACUAUGUGAAUAUUGGCGAAAGAAUAUAUUUAGAAGAGGCUGGUUAUUGGGGCCUUCUCGCCUUACAAGAGCGUGAAAAUGAAUACAUCGAUGUCGGGGAUGCAAAUGACGAAAAGUAUUUCGAUAUCACUGUGGCAGGCUCCCCUUCACCUGCACCAAGCGAAGACGAAGAUGAAGGAUGUGGCACUGGUACUGCUACUUCCAAUCACAGUAGUGGCCACGGAGGUAAUCAUAGUAGCGUUAAGAAAGGAAGACAAAAGCGAGGCGUAUUACCUAAACAAGCUACAAGCAUUAUGCGAACUUGGCUCUUUGAACAUUUAGUUCAUCCGUAUCCGACGGAGGAUGAGAAACGCCAGAUAGCGAGUCAGACGAACCUGACGUUGCUCCAAGUCAAUAAUUGGUUCAUCAAUGCUCGUCGACGAAUCCUUCAGCCGAUGCUGGACGGUGCCGGGGCGGAUUCAAUACAGCGUGCUGGGAAACGUCAUAAGGUGUCGAAACACGUGGUGCAACAUCAGCAAGUACAGCAACAGCAGGGCGGUGGUUGGCAGUCCGAAGACUCGGGGAGCGAUUCUGGCUCCAGCGACGGUGAGGGAGGUGCCGAUAGAUCGAAAGACGGUAACGAUAGCGAUGAAGAUGAUCUUCACUGACCUCUGUCGAUCAUCGAAACGUCAGCCUCUUUACGGUACCUUCAAAUCCAGUUGCUCAUUACAGUAUUAAGAUGUUCUGAUAUACUAUGAAAAUGUUUUACAAGAGACACAUUUAUCCUAUGAACCUUGAAUGGAAUUAAGAACAGAAAAGGCUAACAGUGUUCAAAGUAAAAAAAGGAGAAGAAAAAAAAGAAAGAAAGAAAGAAAGAAAAAUGGAGAUCAACCAUCUGACUUACUUAUUAGUUCUGCGAGCCUCGUAUAUAGCUGACUCGAUUUCCUGAAUAGUUUUGACAGAAUUUAGAGAUAUUUCUUGUAAAAGGGGAUAUAUAUACCUGGCACUUUCUACAGUGUUAUUGAAAAUCGUCCAAACGAGACUAUGUAUAAUAUAUAGAUAUCUUAAAUAACGACACGAAUGAACGAUCGUUCUUAACCCUUCCUAAUUAAAAAUAAGCUAUGCCGAUAUUGUGCUACUACGUUUACAACAUAGGCCAGAUGUGUUUUUCGCGUGUGAUCGGUCGCCAACCAUCCGAAAUAUAAACGAAACAGAUCAAUCUGAACCUCGUGAGAAAGAAAGAAUCGUGCGUGAAAAAGUCGAGAAAACGAAUUGACAUGAAUUCGGGAGGGGGGGGGGGGAUGAUGAUUGUGAUGAUCGGUCAGUAAUGGUAACAAUCUCGGUCUUGUACUCUUCGUGCCAUUAAAGAGCGUGGUAACUUCCGCGUUUAGUCUUUGUUCAGCUCUGCAGUGUCGUGACAUAGCGAAGUGCUAUCCCUCCAAGAUAAUAAUAAUAAUAAUAAUAAUAAUAGUAAUAAUAAUAAUAACAACAACAAUAAUAAUAAUAUUAUAAUUAAUAAUAAUACUAUUACGACUAAUAACGAUAACAACAACAAUGAUAAUAUAAUACUACUUUAAAUAUAUGAUGAUUAUAUUUUUAAACUCUAAGUGUCGUCUUUGAAGAAGAGAAGAGAGAAAGAGAAAAAAAAAAAGAAAAAAAACAAAAACACGAACGUGUUUACCGCAGUUCGGAUGAAUGUGGUGUUUGCUGUACAUACAAUAUACGAGAACUAUUAGAGAUAAAGGAGAGAACGCUGUUGCGAGUUUUCUUCGAAAGAGAAGAAGCGAGAGAAACACGAUUGACAAUGUAAUAUCACUUUCCUUGUAACCGAAGAAGAAGAAGAAGAAGAAAAAAAAAAGAAAACAACAACCAGAGAAAAAGAGUCUAAGACUUGACGACAAGCAUACAUGCCAUCUUAGGGUUAUAAGUGUUCAUACAUUCGCUGUCUGCACAUGAUCGAAAUUGCGUUUUACUGAAAGUGGUCCUUCAGAAUAGUUGGCGAGAUGUAAAACGUUUUAUUUGAA